CACACAUGCACAGCGAUCAGGUUAUGCUCA
rnacentral:piRNA from 1 species